rnacentral:rRNA from 1 species
AGAGUUUGAUUAUGGCUCAGAACUAACGCUGGCGGCGCGUCUUAAACAUGCAAGUCGAACGGUAUCCAUUGAGCUUGCUUAGUGGAGAGAGUGGCGAACGGGUGAGUAACACGUGAAUAAUCUGGCUCCGGGAUGGGGAUAACUACCCGAAAGGGUAGCUAAUACCGAAUAAGAUGGUAGCUACACAAGUAGCAGCCAUUAAAGGUGGGGACCGCAAGGCCUACCGUCUGGAGAUGAGUUCGCGGCUGAUUAGCUUGUUGGCGGGGUAACGGCCCACCAAGGCGACGAUCAGUAGCCGGCCUGAGAGGGUGAACGGCCACAUUGGGACUGAGAUACGGCCCAGACUCCUACGGGAGGCAGCAGUUAAGAAUCUUGCACAAUGGGGGCAACCCUGAUGCAGCGACGCCGCGUGGAUGAUGAAGGCUUUCGGGUUGUAAAGUCCAGUAAGCAGGGAAGAAUAAGCGCCGGGUAAUAUUCGGUGUGAUGACGGUACCUGCCUAAAGCCCCGGCUAACUACGUGCCAGCAGCCGCGGUAAUACGUAUGGGGCGAGCGUUGUUCGGAAUUAUUGGGCGUAAAGGGCGUCUAGGCGGGGGAUUAAGUUAGAUGUGAAAGCCAUGGGCUCAACCCAUGAACUGCAUCUAAGACUGGUUCUCUUGAGUUCGGGAGAGGAGAGCGGAAUUCCAGGUGUAGCGGUGAAAUGCGUAGAUAUCUGGAAGAACACCAGUGGCGAAGGCGGCUCUCUGGCCUAGAACUGACGCUGAAGCGCGAAAGCUGGGGGAGCGAACAGGAUUAGAUACCCUGGUAGUCCACGCUGUAAACGUUGUAUACUAGGUGUUAGCGGCUUGUCCGCUAGUGCCGAAGCAAACGCUUAAGUAUACCGCCUGGGGAGUACGCCGCAGAG